CCAGUGAAAAAAAAAGAAAAGAAAGAAAGAAAGAAAGAAAAAACACUGCCAAACCUGACUAAGAGUCGGCUAUUAGGUCUCUGAGGUGUGUGUG
rnacentral:ribozyme from 1 species